rnacentral:rRNA from 1 species
UACGUAGGCAGCGAGCGUUGUUCGGAAUUACUGGGCGUAAAGAGUGUGUAGGCGGUGCUCUAAGUUCGGUGUGAAAUCUCCUGGCUUAACUGGGAGGGUGCGCCGGAAACUGGAGUGCUCGAGGGUGGGAGAGGAAAGCGGAAUUCCUGGUGUAGCGGUGAAAUGCGUAGAUAUCAGGAGGAACACCUGCGGUGUAGACGGCUUUCUGGACCAUUACUGAUGCUGAGACACGAAAGCGUGGGUAGCAAACAGG